ensembl:lncRNA LINC00987 long intergenic non-protein coding RNA 987
GCCGGAGUCCGCGGCGGCGGAGGCGGCUGCGGCGAGCAAGGAGGCUGACGACGCACAAUGCAAAGACGGCUUUUCAGAGCAGCCAGUGGGGCAGGACAAUGUUUUUCAUCAAAUGUCCUUAGAUUUGGAGGAGGCCAGGAAAGCGGAAGAGACCUCCAGCUGCACAACGACCUGUCCCCCACACCCAACCACAAGUUUAUGAAGGGAUGCAGAACAGCAUGAAUACUGCAAAAGAUGCUCUGUGCAUCAGAGAAGUGUCCUUACCCGAAUGCAGGUGGACAAGCAGUUAAACACAGUGGCUUUGAGUGUGAAGGCUUCUCCUCGCACCACAGAAUAAGGAAGGAACGUCCAGAAGAGAGAGAUUUAAAUUGCUUUCAGCUAAGCUGUAGACCUCUAGCAGAUGAACGACAUAUUUUCCUGAAGGACUUGCUUCGGUGUGGAAGUGAUUCCGCUGUGAGUUGUGUCUUUUGCGUUGUUGCACUCUUCAUCAUAUUCAUCCGCAGGACCUCCAGCUCUAAAGGGUGUGAAGAGGAUACUGACCCACCAGAAAGAGACCCCACUGCUAGAACGAAUAAGAUGUGCUGAAAGCCGGAGCAUAACUUGGCCAUUCCCAAGAUUUAACAACAAACUAACUACCCAUCAUUAACAGUAAAGAAAGAAAACAAUCAGUAAGAGAUUAUAUAGACCUAAGAGAUGUUACAGACCGAAGAAGAACCUAUGGUGAGUGGCGUUUUAGAGUGUAUCUUAGGCCGGGCACGGUGGCUCACGCCUGUAAUCCCAGCACUUUGGGAGGCCGAGGCGGGCGGAUCACGAAGUCAGGAGAUGGAGACCAUCCUGGCUGACACGGAGGAAGACAGGAAGAUGAGAGAGAUUUGAAGAUGGUAUGUGGCUGAAUUUGAAGAUAGAGAAAGGAACCGCAAGCAAAGAAUGCAAGAGGUCUCUAGAAGCUGGAAAAGGCAAGGAAAGAGUCUCCCCUCAAGCUCCAGCAGGAAUGCAGUCCUGACACCUUGAGUUUAGCCUAGUGAGACUUCUGACCUCCAGAACUAGAAGAUACAAGUGGUGUUUUAAGGCACUAAAACGAAGAACUAGAAGUAUUGUUUUAAGCCCAUAAAUUUGUGAUAAUCUGUUACAGUAGUAAUAGGCAAUGCAUACACAAGCACACAAAGUAAAAUUUUUCUGUGGUUAUUUUCCAUAUUUUUUCAGUUAUUUUCUGCCUUUUGAAGACAUUAAAGACAUAAAAUGAAUAUGUAUUAGUUUAGGAAUAAAAUUUAAAAUGUAGGAAU